GCGGGAAUAGCUCAGUUGGUAGAGCGCGACCUUGCCAAGGUCGAGGUCGCCAGUUCGAACCUGGUUUCCCGCUCCA
rnacentral:tRNA from 1 species